GGAGAAUCUGAAAUGACAUGAGAGUUAGUGAAACAACAAGAAACAAAAACCAGAUGAAAAAGUUUCCCCUGCACACACGGAGGGACUGAUCAUGCAAACUGUCUUUAGAGUCAAACACAGUUUGGUUUGUGCGUUUAUGUGGACUGUCGGUGAGUCACUCUCUCGGAGUUCAUUUGACUGUCUUAGUUCAACACUGACUCAUCACCAAAAUAGGCCGCGCUGCGAUAUGUUCUUCCCCUCUGUGCUUCCCUCGACCUCAGCAGGCAUUAUUGACCUGAGACUUCCUCCCGCCUCACCAGUAAGAGCAGUUUGGCUCAUCAUUGUCUUGUUCCCACCUGCCCAGUGGGGACGAGGAUUCUCUGCUGAUGAGGCAAGAGGCAGCCUUGAUCUACAAUCUGGAUCUCAAUGUAGAAAGUGACCUCUGAAAUAAUUUCUAUCAUGUUUUUGCUUCUUUGUGAGUCCACACCAAAUUAAUGGCUUUGCUUUUCUAUGUAGGAUUCUUCAGAGGACAAUAACAAGCAUCUCUUUGUCUUAUUGUUCCUGUUUUUUCUUUGUUUUUUCCUUUGAUACUGGGAUGUUUUCUUGACUUUUUUUCAUCAUACUGCAUAUGUUUAACAAUGUUUGUCUAUUUUGUCAUUUUUGCCUUGUAUUCUUUUGUCACACAUUGGCUUAAAAAUGUAUUCCUGCAUUGCCUGUCCUUAAAUAUUUAAUUCCAAACAUGUAUGUGUAGAUAUAAUGUUUUGUGAAUGUCACAUGUUUCUAGUUUGUGCUUGCUGGUAUUAAGAUGUGUGAACAUGUUUUCUCUUGGGAAUCUGUUUCCAUGUCCCUCGGCUCUGGUUGGCAACACCUGUCCUAGUUACCAUACAUUUCACUCAGGUCGAAUAUGCAGAACGAGAACGAGGACGUGUGCCUAAACAUUGGUCUUUACAUGUUGAAUUGAAAAAGUAAUGGCAUCUCUGUUUCUUUUUUAAUUAUUUGACCGUAUUUCUUCUCAAUUCCAGAGAGAUUAAACUACCCAACAAUUUAUGAAGUGGUUGGACCAGUUAAAAGUGUACUGCUCAAAACCACGUCUCUUUGAUAAAUGCGGGUCUGGUUUUAGGAGAUACAUGGGAAAUAUUUCACAGUCUGUUGUGGGUUGAUGAUGAGAUAUGUUUGAAAUAUGCACACAAGUUGAAUUUCUAUGUACUAAACUAUGUACUAACCCCCUUUGAUUAUGAUGGAAUUUGUCUAGGGGUGGGAGGGACUAGUCUUGAACCGUGAGGUGCUAAUUAGUUUUUAUUUCUAAUAUUUCAAUUUCUCCUGUAAACUGCACUAUGUUUAAGACAAAUCCAACAAAUAAAAAAGGUUCUGCUCAACCAAUAAUGAAUAAAUUAUUGGGUUU